rnacentral:lncRNA from 1 species
CACAGCAGCAGUGCUUAUCAACAGAGUGGACAUGCAGAAGCUUAUGGAUACCCACAGCAGUGUUCCGCCAUGAGAAGGAUUGACGUUCUGACACCUGCUCUAUGGACACCCUGACAAGCUGAAUGACAUAAGCCAGUCACCAGUGUGAGGUGCCUGGAGAGGUCAGACUCGAGAUGGAAACUGGUGUGUAUAGGGCAAGCAGUGGGAUGCCAUGGUUAAUGAGGACAGAGUUGCUGCUUGGAAUAAGACAUUUUGGAAGAAGCUUCUGGUUGUAGUCACAGUGAAUGUACUUUAUGCCUUAGAAUUUGUUAACCUGCAGCUGAUGAAACAACCAUAUAUUUAUUUGGUAAAUAUAGUUACCAAAGCAAAACAUGCAAACCCUGGAUUAAUUUCUAAAUGUACAAAAAUGGGGAAUGGAUCACUGAAGGCCCACGUCCUUGAGCCCAGCUUUGGACAGGGUUAGUUCACUACCUUCUCACUUCAAGGAGUUAAAGCACAUCCUGCCAUUUUCUCUUUUGUAGAUGGCCAUCCCCCCAUGCCUCUGCACUUAAAGGUCUCUAUUGUGUGUUUGAAUUGAGUCAAAUAUUGGUCCCUUUCCUCUCAGGGUUAGUUAUCUUGUAGGAGUUCCCACAUUCUGCAUUCCACAAAGUUAUGGAAAUGGUUACCGACUUUUUCCCAUGUCUUCUAGAUUAACCUUCCUGAGGUGUCUUCC